rnacentral:rRNA from 1 species
CCUACGGGUGGCAGCAGUGGGGAAUAUUGCACAAUGGGGGAAACCCUGAUGCAGCGACGCCGCGUGAGUGAAGAAGUAAUUCGUUAUGUAAAGCUCUAUCAGCAGGGAAGAAAAUGACGGUACCUGAGUAAGAAGCACCGGCUAAAUACGUGCCAGCAGCCGCGGUAAUACGUAUGGUGCAAGCGUUAUCCGGAUUUACUGGGUGUAAAGGGAGCGCAGGCGGCGCGUUAAGCCUGGUGUGAAAGCCCGCGGCCCAACCGCGGGACUGCAUUGGGAACUGGCGCGCUGGAGUGCCGGAGGGGUAGGCGGAAUUCCUAGUGUAGCGGUGAAAUGCGUAGAUAUUAGGAGGAACACCAGUGGCGAAGGCGGCCUACUGGACGGUGACUGACGCUGAGGCUCGAAAGCGUGGGGAGCAAACAGGAUUAGAUACCCCAGUAGUC